rnacentral:rRNA from 1 species
GGUGGUAGGCUGAAAUCUUAGGUAAAUCCGGGGUUUCAAGGCCGAGAGCUGAUGACGAGUCGUCUUUUAGAUGACGAAGUGGUUGAUGCCAUGCUUCCAAGAAAAGCUUCUAAGCUUCAGGUAACCAGGAACCGUACCCCAAACCGACACAGGUGGUCGGGUAGAGAAUACCAAGGCGCUUGAGAGAACUCGGGUGAAGGAACUAGGCAAAAUGGCACCGUAACUUCGGGAGAAGGUGCGCCGGCUAGGGUGAAGGAUUUACUCCGUAAGCUCUGGCUGGUCGAAGAUACCAGGCCGCUGCGACUGUUUAUUAAAAACACAGCACUCUGCAAACACGAAAGUGGACGUAUAGGGUGUGACGCCUGCCCGGUGCCGGAAGGUUAAUUGAUGGGGUUAGCGCAAGCGAAGCUCUUGAUCGAAGCCCCGGUAAACGGCGGCCGUAACAAUAACGGUCCUAAGGUAGCGAAAUUCCUUGUCGGGUAAGUUCCGACCUGCACGAAUGGCGUAACGAUGGCGGCGCUGUCUCCACCCGAGACUCAGUGAAAUUGAAAUCGCUGUGAAGAUGCAGUGUAUCCGCGGCUAGACGGAAAGACCCCGUGAACCUUUACUGUAGCUUUGCACUGGACUUUGAGCCUGCUUGUGUAGGAUAGGUGGGAGGCUUUGAAGCGUGGACGCCAGUUCGCGUGGAGCCAUCCUUGAAAUACCACCCUGGCAUGCUUGAGGUUCUAACUCUGGUCCGUAAUCCGGAUCGAGGACAGUGUAUGGUGGGCAGUUUGACUGGGGCGGUCUCCUCCUAAAGAGUAACGGAGGAGUACGAAGGUGCGCUCAGACCGGUCGGAAAUCGGUCGCAGAGUAUAAAGGCAAAAGCGCGCUUGACUGCGAGACAGACACGUCGAGCAGGUACGAAAGUAGGUCUUAGUGAUCCGGUGGUUCUGUAUGGAAGGGCCAUCGCUCAACGGAUAAAAGGUACUCUGGGGAUAACAGGCUGAUACCGCCCAAGAGUUCAUAUCGACGGCGGUGUUUGGCACCUCGAUGUCGGCUCAUCACAUCCUGGGGCUGAAGCCGGUCCCAAGGGUAUGGCUGUUCGCCAUUUAAAGUGGUACGCGAGCUGGGUUUAGAACGUCGUGAGACAGUUCGGUCCCUAUCUGCCGUGGACGUUUGAGAUUUGAGAGGGGCUGCUCCUAGUACGAGAGGACCGGAGUGGACGAACCUCUGGUGUUCCGGUUGUCACGCCAGUGGCAUUGCCGGGUAGCUAUGUUCGGAAAAGAUAACCGCUGAAAGCAUCUAAGCGGGAAACUUGCCUCAAGAUGAGAUCUCACUGGGAACUUGAUUCCCCUGAAGGGCCGUCGAAGACUACGACGUUGAUAGGCUGGGUGUGUAAGCGUUGUGAGGCGUUGAGCUAACCAGUACUAAUUGCCCGUGAGGCUUGACC